UUUAAUUUAAUCUACAGUAUUUCCGCAUACACUCAAAUCAGUUUAGUUGCGCUACCGAGAAACGGUAAACAAUGUAGUAAGCUAUCGGCCAGUUAGCAGAAAAAUUCUAUCCGAGGAGUCGAAGAAACUCGUGCAACCGGUCCUAAACCUGAUAUACGCUGAAGGGUCACACGGCUCCAAUCGACCAAAUCCGAACGAAUGACAAAGGUACGGUCUGCGUCACUUACGAUUCAGUGGGAAGAGACAGAAGUCUCCGAAUGUGGGACUUAGCAAACGGUGUGUGUCUGGCAGUCUUCACCCCGGAUCAAGCCAUUAGUUGUUGCCAACUUUUACCGGACGGAAAAGCCGUGGUGAUGGGUCUGUACGGACGACAAAGCGUGGUCACGCUCUCGCUCUGUCACGAAACCAGCGUGGAGGAGCAGACGAAUGACAGCUCUACUUACGGCGACAAACAAUACGAAAAGCAAGUGUUCCAAGUAAACGAAAAAGAGAGUUGAUAACGAAUGCCAAUUCUUAAAAAUUGCGUGAUUUUUUAAAAAAUUCUGUAACGUUUUUGUGCCUGUAAUAAAAAAAUGUAAAUUUUUAAUA